GUGCCAGCAGCCGCGGUAAUACGGAGGGUGCGAGCGUUAAUCGGAAUUACUGGGCGUAAAGCGCGCGUAGGUGGCCUGUUAAGUCAGAUGUGAAAGCCCCGGGCUCAACCUGGGAAUUGCAUUUGAUACUGGCAGGCUCGAGUGUGGUAGAGGGAAGUGGAAUUCCGGGUGUAGCGGUGAAAUGCGUAGAUAUCCGGAGGAACACCAGUGGCGAAGGCGGCUUCCUGGACCAACACUGACACUGAGGUGCGAAAGCGUGGGUAGCAAACAGGAUUAGAUACCCGCGUAGUCC
rnacentral:rRNA from 1 species